GACGAACGCUGGCGGCGUGCCUAAUACAUGCAAGUAGAACGCUGAAGGAGGAGCUUGCUUCUCUGGAUGAGUUGCGAACGGGUGAGUAACGCGUAGGUAACCUGCCUGGUAGCGGGGGAUAACUAUUGGAAACGAUAGCUAAUACCGCAUAAGAGUAGAUGUUGCAUGACAUUUGCUUAAAAGGUGCAAUUGCAUCACUACCAGAUGGACCUGCGUUGUAUUAGCUAGUUGGUGGGGUAACGGCUCACCAAGGCGACGAUACAUAGCCGACCUGAGAGGGUGAUCGGCCACACUGGGACUGAGACACGGCCCAGACUCCUACGGGAGGCAGCAGUAGGGAAUCUUCGGCAAUGGACGGAAGUCUGACCGAGCAACGCCGCGGGAGUGAAGAAGGUUUUCGGAUCGUAAAGCUCUGUUGUAAGAGAAGAACGAGUGUGAGAGUGGAAAGUUCACACUGUGACGGUAUCUUACCAGAAAGAGACGGCUAACUACGUG
rnacentral:rRNA from 1 species